GUGUGUGUGUGUGUGUGUGUGUGUGUGUGUGUGUGUGCUGCAUAGAGUCAGAAAAACAUAUCAUUCUGGUUUGUUGUUCUCACGCUCUCUCUCAAUGUGGGGUGUUUUUCUCACCUCCGUCUCAUUGUCAUGCAAAAGUGGCUGCAUUGCCGUGAAAAAUGGUGAACCUCAUCUCACAUGCACAAACUUUUUGCACUCAGUUAAUGUGAGUUGUGUAUUCCUUGUUGCUGUUUUUCUUGCUGGCUUUGUAGAAGUUUCUCCCUGUCUCAGCUGGGUACCAGUCUGAGUUGUGUGUGUGUGUGUGUGUGUGUGUGUGUGUGUGUGUGUGUGUGUGUGUGUGUGUGUGUGUGUGUGUGUGUGUGAGAAAGAAAUGCAUGUCCAAAAUACUACUAUGUAACACAACACAGGUGCAGUUAGAACAACUCCAUCAGACAUAGUAUUAGUAGCACAAUAGUAGUAGAAGUAGGAGUAGAAGUUUCUCCUGAGAGAGAGGAGAAGGAGGAGGAGAAGGUGGAGGACCAUGGGAACGAGGGUGAUGUCCUCCCUCCCCGGAGGACGAGGAGGUGAAGGUGGAGGAGGAGGUGGAGGGUGAUGUCCUCCCUCCCCGGAGGACGAGGAGGUGGACCGUGGGAACGAGGUGAACAAAAGAUCCAUCAAAUUUUGACACAUUGUGGUUAGAUCCUCUCUCGCGCGUGCACCGCAAGUCUGAAAAGACAGCAUCAAUGGAACCCCGAUUCGACGAGUCACCAUGGAAACGGGGAAGCGAAAGGCUUCGUUUUUGAACUGGAAGUUUUUAUGGCGAGUUUGAAGACGUUUUUAGAAAGAAGUGCAACACCGCUGCAGCUGCAAAAGAGAGAGAGACGGCGUGGAGAACACUGCUGCCCGGAUCAAUGAAGCAUGGCUGGACAGCAGCAGGAUGGUUCCUCAGCUUCCGCUGCACAGACUGACACAGUGAGAUGGAUGUUCAGGAAACACCAGAGCUUCAUUCUGUGGAAUCCAUGUGCAACUGUAUAAUUGAAUGUCCUCUAUGUAUUCCCAGUUAUCAGUAAAACAGAUUUACAAACUGCAUUUGCUGAGAAAAAUCCAAAAAACAGAUUAGGAGGGCAGAUCUGGAAAUUGAAAUACUGGAGCACAAGUUAGAGGUGGUGAUGGUCACAGGUGAAUUAUGUUAACUACUGGAACAUGAACUGAACUAUCUUUUAUUUGUAGGAAAUAAAGAAGAGCAAAUGAAA